rnacentral:rRNA from 1 species
AUUGAACGCUGGCGGAAGGAGGAACAAAGGCAAGUCGAACGGUAACAGGAAGCAGCUUGCUGCUUUGCUGACGAGUGGCGGACGGGUGAGUAAUGUCUGGGAAACUGCCUGAUGGAGGGGGAUAACUACUGGAAACGGUAGCUAAUACCGCAUAACGUCGCAAGACCAAAGAGGGGGACCUUCGGGCCUCUUGCCAUCGGAUGUGCCCAGAUGGGAUUAGCUAGUAGGUGGGGUAACGGCUCACCUAGGCGACGAUCCCUAGCUGGUCUGAGAGGAUGACCAGCCACACUGGAACUGAGACACGGUCCAGACUCCUACGGGAGGCAGCAGUGGGGAAUAUUGCACAAUGGGCGCAAGCCUGAUGCAGCCAUGCCGCGUGUAUGAAGAAGGCCUUCGGGUUGUAACGUCCUUUCAGCGGGGAGGAAGGGAGUAAAGUUAAUACCUUGGCUCAUUGACGUUACCCGCAGAAGAAGCACCGGCUCCCUCCGUG